rnacentral:rRNA from 1 species
AGAGUUUGAUCAUGGCUCAGAAUCAACGCUGGCGGCGCGCUUAACACAUGCAAGUCGCACGAGAAAGUGGAGCAAUCCAUGAGUAAAGUGGCGUACGGGUGAGUAACACGUGGGUAAUCUACCUCUUAGUGGGGAAUAACUCUGGGAAACCGGAGCUAAUACCGCAUAAGCCUGGAAAGGGAAAGCAGCAAUGCGCUGAGAGAGGAGCCCGCGGCCGAUUAGCUAGUUGGUAGGGUAAAGGCCUACCAAGGCAAUGAUCGGUAGCCGGCCUGAGAGGGCACACGGCCACACUGGCACUGAAACACGGGCCAGACUCCUACGGGAGGCAGCAGUGGGGAAUCUUGCACAAUGGGGGAAACCCUGAUGCAGCGACGCCGCGUGAGCGAUGAAGCCCUUCGGGGUGUAAAGCUCUUUCGGCAGGAACGAUAAUGACGGUACCUGAAGAAGAAGCUGCGGCUAACUACGUGCCAGCAGCCGCGGUAAUACGUAGGCAGCAAGCGUUGUUCGGAGUUACUGGGCGUAAAGAGUGUGUAGGCUGUUCUCUAAGUUUGGUGUGAAAUUUCCCGGCUCAACUGGGAGGGUGCGCCGAAAACUGGAGGGCUCGAGUAUGGGAGAGGAAAGCGGAAUUCCUGGUGUAGCGGUGAAAUGCGUAGAUAUCAGGAGGAACACCUGCGGUGUAGACAGCUUUCUGGACCAUCACUGACGCUGAGACACGAAAGCGUGGGUAGCAAACAGGAUUAGAUACCCUGGUAGUCCACGCCCUAAACGAUGCAUACUUGGUGUGAGCCGUUCAUUCGGUUCGUGCCGGAGCUAACGCGUUAAGUAUGCCGCCUGGGGAGUACGGUCGCAAGGCUGAAACUCAAAGGAAUUGACGGGGGCCCGCACAAGCGGUGGAGCGUGUGGUUUAAUUCGACGCAACGCGAAGAACCUUACCUGGGCUCGAACGGCUUUGGCAACUCCGUGGAAACAUGGGGCCUCCCGCAA